rnacentral:rRNA from 1 species
GACGAACGCUGGCGGCGUGCUUAACACAUGCAAGUCGAACGGAAAGGCCCUGCUUUUGUGGGGUGCUCGAGUGGCGAACGGGUGAGUAACACGUGAGUAACCUGCCCUUGACUUUGGGAUAACUUCAGGAAACUGGGGCUAAUACCGGAUAGGAGCUCCUGCUGCAUGGUGGGGGUUGGAAAGUUUCGGCGGUUGGGGAUGGACUCGCGGCUUAUCGGCUUGUUGGUGGGGUAGUGGCUUACCAAGGCUUUGACGGGUAGACGGCCUGAGAGGGUGACCGGCCACAUUGGGACGGAGAUACGGCCCAGACUCCUACGGGAGGCAGCAGUGGGGAAUAUUGCACAAUGGGCGGAAGCCUGAUGCAGCAACGCCGCGUGCGGGAUGACGGCCUUCGGGUUGUAAACCGCUUUCGCCUGUGACGAAGCGUGAGUGACGGUAAUGGGUAAAGAAGCACCGGCGAACUACGU